GUGAGCCAUUAAGCUAACUUGUACUAAUUACCCGUGAGGCUUAACCAUACAACGCCAAACGCGUUU
rnacentral:rRNA from 3 species